rnacentral:misc_RNA from 1 species
GAUGAAGAACACAGCGAACUGCGAUAAGUAAUGUGAAUUGCAGAAUUCAGUGAAUCAUCGAGUCUUUGAACGCACAUUGCGCCCCCUGGCAUUCCGGGGGGCAUGCCUGUCCGAGCGUCAUUGCUGCCCUUCAAGCCCGGCUUGUGUGUUGGGUCGUCGUCCCCCCCGGGGGACGGGCCCGAAAGGCAGCGGCGGCACCGCGUCCGGUCCUCGAGCGUAUGGGGCUUUGUCACCCGCUCGAUUAGGGCCGGCCGGGCGCCAGCCGGCGUCUCCAACCUUCUAUUUUACCAGGUUGACCUCGGAUCAGGUAGGGAUACCCGCUGAACUUAAGCAUAUCAAUAAGCGGAGGA